rnacentral:rRNA from 1 species
CCUAGCCCUUCAGAGGGGGACAACAGUUGGAAACGACUGCUAAUACCGCAUACGAUUCAAUCUCGGCAUCGAGACUGGAUGAAAGGUGGCCUCUAUUUAUAAGCUAUCACUGAAGGAGGGGGUUGCGUCUGAUUAGCUAGUUGGAGGGGUAACGGCCCACCAAGGCGAUGAUCAGUAGCCGGUCUGAGAGGAUGAACGGCCACAUUGGGACUGAGACACGGCCCAG